GAGAAGAACGCAGCAAAAUGCGAUAAGUAAUGUGAAUUGCAGAAUUCAGUGAAUCAUCGAAUCUUUGAACGCACAUUGCGCCCGCCAGUAUUCUGGCGGGCAUGCCUGUUCGAGCGUCAUUUCAACCCUCAAGCACAGCUUGGUGUUGGGACUCGCGUUAAUUCGCGUUCCUCAAAUUGAUUGGCGGUCACGUCGAGCUUCCAUAGCGUAGUAGUAAAACCCUCGUUACUGGUAAUCGUCGCGGCCACGCCGUUAAACCCCAACUUCUGAAUGUUGACCUCGGAUCAGGUAGGAAUACCCGCUGAACUUAAGCAUAUCAAUAAGCGGAGGA
rnacentral:misc_RNA from 1 species